rnacentral:rRNA from 1 species
AUGCUUCUCCUAAGGACUAAGCCAUGCAUGCCUAGAAUAGAGGGGGUGAUCUCUCGAAUCUGCGAACGGCUCCGCAAACCGGUUGUAAUUCAUCGUACGUCUAGCCCGGCUCGGGCCUCGACCCUCCGGGGUCGGGUGCUGGAUCCGGGCACCGCUCACAUGGAUAUCCCUGGUAAUUCUGGGGCUAAUACAUGGCACAAACACUGAACUGGCCCGGUCCCGGGGGCGUAGGCUUCGGCUGAAACCAUCAACCCGGGGUAUCCCGGGCCAGGGACGUGCGAGUCUUCCAACCAAGUUCGGCUUGGGGUCUCUUCUAACCUUCGGGACGGAACGCACGUCUGAACCUGCUCCCGCCUCGUGCGGGACCGGGUCCGGGCACCGAGCUUUCUUCUGGCUGCGGGUUCAGGCUAACCCCUGGGUUCGCUUCUGGGGAUUGCAGAGUCCUGUACCCGGGCAGGUGGGUACUGCGGCUUCCGACCUAUCAACUAGAAUGCGGUAAAAUGGGCUGCAAUGGUCGCAACGGGUACAGAGGAUUAGGGUUCGAUCCUGGAGAGUGGGCCUGAGAGAUCGCUCCUACUUCUAAGGAAGGCAGCAGGCGCGCAAAGUUCCCCUUGGGCUACUGCCUGAGGGCGCUAGGGGACAUAUGAAUGGCUAUCAAUUUUGGUGGCCAAUUCAAA